AACGAACGCUGGCGGCAUGCCUAACACAUGCAAGUCGAACGAGACGUUCGGGCCUAGGGGCGCACGGGUGCGUAACGCGUGGGAACCUGCCCGUAGGUUCGGAAUAACUCCCCGAGGGGGGUGCUAAGACCGGAGAAUGUCUUCGGACCAAAGAGUUAUGGCCUUUGGAUGGGGCCGCGUUGGAUUAGCUAGUUGGUAGGGUAAAAGCCUACCAAGGCGACGAUCCAUAGCUGGUCUGAGAGGAUGAUCCGCCACGCUGGGACUGCGACACGGCCCAGACUCCUACGCAACGGAGCAGUGUGGAAUAUUGGAGGAUGGGCGAAAGCCUGGUAACGCAGCGCGGCGUGAGUGAUGAAGGCGUUAGGGUUGUAAAGCUCUCUUUCCCGGGGUGAGAAUGACAGUACCGGGUGAAUAAGCUCCGGCUAACUCCGUG
rnacentral:rRNA from 1 species